UGAAGAUGCAAGCUUCCCUCUCUUCCUGUUUGGUAUAAUUGACAAUGUGUGAUAGGGCGUGAGAGCUCCCACUACAGGACUUCCCAGCUGCAAUUUACUCAAGGUUCUUUUAUUAAUUUCCACAAGUGGUAUAGCAAAAUAACCGCAACAAAAAAGAAAGCUCUAAAAGACCCCUGGCUCACCUGCUGGAUAAGUGAAAGCCUAUUAAUAAGAGACAGAGGCUUGCUUAUGUAAUGAAGUCCUGCAGAGAACAGCAAAGACACAUGAAAAUAAGAAUAAGUGAAUGAAGAGGAGGAAUGAUCCCACUGACCCAUAUCUUGAGACUUCUUGGGAGGUCAGACAUACAUGACACAGACUAUUGAAAGUCUAAGGAAAAAUCCAGAAGGAAUGUUCGAUAUAGGCAUAAAUAGUCAUCAAAGACAAGCUUUUACCUUAAAAAGGCUGGAGGCUCCGUUUUCCCCUGGCUUCAGGGAAGGAAGCUCUGGUAGAAGGGAAGAGAGCAGCAUCGGCAGUGUGCUGGAGCCCCCUCGUAGUGGCUGGCAAGAACGGAUUGUGAAAAUCUCAUUCAUUUUUCAAUCUCCGUGUUUCCACAGAGAGUGGUUGGCUCUUUGGGUGCAAAUGAAGACAAGCUGGAAUGAUGGGUGUCCUUGAAGGAAGGUGAUCUGAGAAAGCCUGGAAGCUUUUUCUUUUGGACAGUUUUUAAGCCUCCAGUAGUACUCUGGCAAACAAUUUGGAUCAUGGGGACCAAGCUAGGAUAAAUUAGACUGGAGUGGUCAGUCAACUUAGCAGCUACACAACCUCCAAAGUAAGUAUACUGCAAUUGUCCUGUCUUCUGGAAGCCAAAAUCCUGUGUAUAGUGAGCCUCAGUCUGAGUUGCUUCAGAGAAACAGGCUUCUUAGAGAAAGCUUCCCUUAUAUUUAUUUGUUUUACCUACUUUUAGGUGUACACAGCAAUCUUUUAAAAUGUCCUUUAUUCUACCAAAGCUGGAUAGGAUUGAGACUCUAAUCAAGGCAGGCAUCUCCCAGGUACCCUCCCUAAUCUUCCAAAGAUAGUCCU
rnacentral:lncRNA from 1 species